rnacentral:rRNA from 1 species
AACGCUGGCGGCGUGCCUAACACAUGCAAGUCGAACGAGGUCCAUGAGAGCUUGCUCUCAGAAGACCUAGUGGCGAACGGGUGAGUAACACGUGAGAAACCUGCCUCGGAGUGGGGAAUAACUCGGGGAAACUCGAGCUAAUACCGCAUAUCUUCACAUGAUCGCAUGGUCGAGUGAAGAAAGAAUUUCGCUCUGAGAGGGUCUCGCGGCCUAUCAGCUUGUUGGUGGGGUAACGGCCCACCAAGGCAACGACGGGUAGCUGGUUUGAGAGGACGAUCAGCCACACUGGGACUGAGACACGGCCCAGACUCCUACGGGAGGCAGCAGUGGGGAAUCUUGCGCAAUGGGCGAAAGCCUGACGCAGCAACGCCGCGUGCGGGAUGACGGCCUUCGUGGUUGUAAACCGCUUUCAGCAGGGACGAAAAUGACGGUACCUGCAGAAGAAGCCCCGGCUAACUACGUG